rnacentral:rRNA from 1 species
AGUGAACGCUGGCGGUAGGCCUAACACAUGCAAGUCGAACGGCAGCACAGUAAGAGCUUGCUCUUACGGGUGGCGAGUGGCGGACGGGUGAGGAAUACAUCGGAAUCUACUUUUUCGUGGGGGAUAACGUAGGUAAACUUACGCUAAUACCGCAUACGACCUACGGGUGAAAGCAGUGGAUCUUCUGACCUUGCGCGAUUGAAUGCGCCGAUGUCGGAUUAGCUAGUUGGCGGGGUAAAGGCCCACCAAGGCGACGAUCCGUAGCUGGUCUGAGAGGAUGAUCAGCCACACUGGAACUGAGACACGGUCCAGACUCCUACGGGAGGCAGCAGUGGGGAAUAUUGGACAAUGGGCGCAAGCCUGAUCCAGCCAUACCGCGUGGGUGAAGAAGGCCUUCGGGUUGUAAAGCCCUUUUGUUGGGAAAGAAAAGCAGCAGGUUAAUACCCCGCUGUUCUGACGGUACCCAAAGAAUAAGCACCGGCUAACUUCGUG